rnacentral:rRNA from 1 species
GUGGGGAAUCUUCCGCAAUGGGCGAAAGUCUGACGGAGCAACGCCGCGUGAGUGAAGAAGGUUUUCGGAUCGUAAAGCUCUUUCGUUAGGGACGAACGUGCUCUUUGUGAAUAAUGAGGAGUAAUGACGGUACCUAAAUAAGAAGCCACGGCUAACUACGUGCCAGCAGCCGCGGUAAUACGUAGGUGGCAAGCGUUGUCCGGAAUUAUUGGGCGUAAAGCGCGCGCAGGCGGGAUAUCAAGUCUGUCUUAAAAGUGCGAGGCUCAACCUCGUGAGGGGACAGAAACUGGUAUUCUUGAGUGUCGGAGAGGAAAGUGGAAUUCCAAGUGUAGCGGUGAAAUGCGUAGAGAUUUGGAAGAACACCAGUGGCGAAGGCGACUUUCUGGACGAUGUCUGACGCUGAGGCGCGAAAGCUAGGGGAGCGAACGGGAUUAGAAACCCUAGUAGUCC